AAUUCGAUUAGAGUUUGAUCCUGGCUCAGAUUGAACGCUGGCGGCGUGCUUAACACAUGCAAGUCGCGCGUGAAAGGGCUUCGGCCCGAGUAAAGCGGCGCACGGGUGAGUAACGCGUGGAUGAUCUACCCAUGAGUUGGGAAUAACGGCUGGAAACGGUCGCUAAUACCGAAUACGCUCCGAUUUCAUCUUCGGGGGAAAGGUGGCCUCUGCUUGCAAGCUACUGCUCAUGGAUGAGUCCGCGUCCCAUUAGCUAGUUGGUGGGGUAACGGCCCACCAAGGCGACGAUGGGUAGCCGGUCUGAGAGGAUGACCGGCCACACUGGGACUGGAACACGGCCCAGACUCCUACGGGAGGCAGCAGUGGGGAAUAUUGCGCAAUGGGCGAAAGCCUGACGCAGCGACGCCGCGUGAGGGAUGAAGGUCCUCGGAUCGUAAACCUCUGUCAGGAGGGAAGAACCGCCACGGUGCUAAUCAGCCGUGGUCUGACGGUACCUCCAAAGGAAGCACCGGCUAACUCCGUGCCAGCAGCCGCGGUAAUACGGAGGGUGCGAGCGUUAAUCGGAAUCACUGGGCGUAAAGCGCACGUAGGCCGCUUGGUAAGUCAGGGGUGAAAGCCCGCGGCUCAACCGCGGAAUUGCCUUUGAUACUGCCGAGCUAGAGUCCGGGAGAGGGUAGUGGAAUUCCAGGUGUAGGAGUGAAAUCCGUAGAGAUCUGGAGGAACA
rnacentral:rRNA from 1 species